AGUGAACGCUGGCGGUAGGCCUAACACAUGCAAGUCGAACGGCAGCACGGUAAGAGCUUGCUCUUACGGGUGGCGAGUGGCGGACGGGUGAGGAAUACAUCGGAAUCUACUUUUUCGUGGGGGAUAACGUAGGGAAACUUACGCUAAUACCGCAUACGACCUACGGGUGAAAGCAGGGGAUCUUCGGACCUUGCGCGAUUGAAUGAGCCGAUGUCGGAUUAGCUAGUUGGCGGGGUAAAGGCCCACCAAGGCGACGAUCCGUAGCUGGUCUGAGAGGAUGAUCAGCCACACUGGAACUGAGACACGGCCCAGACUCCUACGGGAGGCAGCAGUGGGGAAUAUUGGACAAUGGGCGCAAGCCUGAUCCAGCCAUACCGCGUGGGUGAAGAAGGCCUUCGGGUUGUAAAGCCCUUUUGUUGGGAAAGAAAAGCAGCAGGUUAAUACCCCGCUGUUCUGACGGUACCCAAAGAAUAAGCACCGGCUAACUUCGUG
rnacentral:rRNA from 1 species